UGGGGAAUAUUGGACAAUGGGCGAAAGCCUGAUCCAGCCAUGCCGCGUGUGUGAAGAAGGUCUUCGGAUUGUAAAGCACUUUAAGUUGGGAGGAAGGGCAUUAACCUAAUACGUUAGUGUUUUGACUUUACCGACAGAAUAAGCACCGGCUAACUCUGUGCCAGCAGCCGCGGUAAUAAAGAGGGUGCAAGCGUUAAUCGGAAUUACUGGGCGUAAAGCGCGCGUAGGUGGUUUGUUAAGUUGGAUGUGAAAUCCCCGGGCUCAACCUGGGAACUGCAUUCAAAACUGACUGACUAGAGUAUGGUAGAGGGUGGUGGAAUUUCCUGUGUAGCGGUGAAAUGCGUAGAUAUAGGAAGGAACACCAGUGGCGAAGGCGACCACCUGGACUAAUACUGACACUGAGGUGCGAAAGCGUGGGGAGCAAACA
rnacentral:rRNA from 1 species